ACCGUUUACUACGGGAUAGCCUUCUGAAAAGGAGAUUAAUACCGUAUGGCAUUCUAAAGUUCAUGACAUUAGAAUUAAAGGUUACCGGUAAUCGAUGGGGAUGCGUUCCAUUAGAUAGUAGGCGGGGUAACGGCCCACCUAGUCAGCGAUGGAUAGGGGUUCUGAGAGGAAGGUCCCCCACAUUGGAACUGAGACACGGUCCAAACUCCUACGGGAGGCAGCAGUGAGGAAUAUUGGUCAAUGGGCGAGAGCCUGAACCAGCCAAGUUAAGCGUGAAGGAUGACUGCCCUAUGGGUUGUAAACUUCUUUUAUAAAGGAAUAAAGUGGUCCACGUGUGGAUUUUUGUAUGUACUUUAUGAAUAAAGGAUCGGCUAACUCCGUGCCAGCCGCUGC
rnacentral:rRNA from 1 species